rnacentral:pre_miRNA from 1 species
ACUCAUCAAGAAGAUGGGAGGCCACCCCCCAGCCUGGGCUGGGCGAGUAACUUUUCAAAUGGCUCAUUCUCAAGCACGACUAGGAGA